UGGGGAAUAUUGCACAAUGGGCGCAAGCCUGAUGCAGCCAUGCCGCGUGUGUGAAGAAGGCCUUCGGGUUGUAAAGCGCUUUCAGCGAGGAGGAAGGUGGUGAGCUUAAUACGCUCAUCAAUUGACGUUACUCGCAGAAGAAGCACCGGCUAACUCCGUGCCAGCAGCCGCGGUAAUACGGAGGGUGCAAGCGUUAAUCGGAAUUACUGGGCGUAAAGCGCACGCAGGCGGUUUGUUAAGUCAGAUGUGAAAUCCCCGGGCUCAACCUGGGAACUGCAUUUGAAAACUGGCAAGCUAGAGUCUCGUAGAGGGGGGUAGAAUUCCAGGUGUAGCGGUGAAAUGCGUAGAGAUCCGGAGGAAUACCGGUGGCGAAGGCGGCCCCCUGGACGAAGACUGACGCUCAGGUGCGAAAAGCGUGGGGCAGCAAACAGGAUUAGAUACCCUGGUAGUCCACGCUGUAAAACGAUGUCGAUUUUGGAGGUUGUGCCCCUUGAGGCGUGGCUUCCGGAGCUAACGCGUUAAAUCGACCGCC
rnacentral:rRNA from 1 species